rnacentral:rRNA from 1 species
AACGAACGCUGGCGGCAGGCCUAACACAUGCAAGUCGAGCGCCCUUUCGGGGGAGCGGCGGACGGGUGAGUAACGCGUGGGAAUAUGCCCUUCUCUACGGAAUAGCCUCGGGAAACUGAGAGUAAUACCGUAUACGCCCUGUGGGGGAAAGAUUUAUCGGGGAAGGAUUAGCCCGCGUUGGAUUAGGUAGUUGGUGGGGUAAUGGCCUACCAAGCCGACGAUCCAUAGCUGGGUUGAGAGGAUGAUCAGCCACACUGGGACUGAGACACGGCCCAGACUCCUACGGGAGGCAGCAGUGGGGAAUCUUAGACAAUGGGGGCAACCCUGAUCGAGCCAUGCCGCGUGAGUGAUGAAGGCCUUAGGGUUGUAAAGCUCUUUAAGCUGGGAAGAUAAUGACGGUACCAGCAGAAGAAGCCCCGGCUAACUCCGUG